rnacentral:lncRNA from 1 species
ACCUUCCUUUUGUGUUCAUAAACCUUGUGUUUAAAUUUCAUUGAUUUCUAUUUACUUAUACUAAAGUUAUUGUACGAAAACCAAGAAUAAUGCUUAUUUGGGCCCUUUUUUGGCCCCUAACUCCUAAACUGUUGGAACCAAAACUCCCAAAAUCAAUCCCAACCUUUCUUUUGUGGUCAUAAACCUUGUGUCAAAAUUUCAUAGAUUUCAAUUUACUUAAACUAAAGUAAUAGUGCGAAAACCAAGAAAAUGCUUAUUUGGGCCCUUUUUGGCCCCUAAUUCCUAAAAUUUUGGGACCAAAACUCCAAAAAUCAAUCCCAACCUUCCUUUUGUGGUCAUAAACCUUGUGUUAAAAUUUCAUAGAUUUCUAUUCACUUUUACUAAAGUUAGAGUGCGAAAACUAAAAGUAUUCGGACGACGACGACGACGCCAACAUGAUAGCAAUAUACGACGAAAAA